rnacentral:rRNA from 1 species
UACGUAGGGUGCAAGCGUUGUCCGGAAUUAUUGGGCGUAAAGAGCUCGUAGGCGGUUUGUUGCGUCGGCUGUGAAAUCCCGAGGCUCAACCUCGGGUCUGCAGUCGAUACGAGCAAACUAGAGUGUUGCAGGGAGACUGGAAUUCUGUGUAGCGGUGAAAUGCGCAGAUAUCAGGAGGAACACCGGUGGCGAAGGCGGGUCUCUGGGCAACAACUGACGCUGAGGGGCGAAAGCGUGGGAGCAACA